AGCAAGGACGCCCCGCGCCUGGCCGCCGCUCGCCCGGCCGCCUGGUCCUCACUGACCUCCCAGGCCGCGCCCGCGCGAAGCGCCGCCUCCGCCGGGAGAGGACGACGACAGUGCCAUGGAGCUCCUUCCCCACAACCACGCAGUGGUAGAGGAGCUCCGUCUCCGUCAUCGCAUCUGGACGCCGACCCGGCAACAGCCACAACCUUGGAGUUCUCCUCGAGCGCCUCAAACACUAGCCCACCUCCACCCAUGGUGACCCCCUCUCUUUCACCUCCACCCAUGGCAACCCUGCUGCGGAAGAUCUCAAGUCUCCUCCCCAACAACAAAACAGGAACAUGAGCCUCCUCUCGACCAGGAUAUGAAUACCUCCUCCCUUUCUCUUCUCCCUUGUUGUUCUCGCUAUCUGAUUUGUGCGGUCUGUGCAGUUGCCAAGCUCUUCCGGUUGCUUGUGUGAAGGGGUUUAAUUUGGUUCCCCCUGUUUUCUACUACCAAGGAAGGUGACGACCUCUCCCCCCUCUGUUCAAGUUAUUCAUUAGAGAAUAAAUCUGGGAGCAGAAUCAUGUGUUGUUAGGGUUGAGGAGCUCGCUUACUGUCGGGAUGGGUCCCCUCGGCCUCCACCAUGAGGUACAAGCGAUGGAGAUGGGUGGGCAUCAUGCAAGGCAUGGAUGGCUGUUGCUUGCUCUCGGUUUGGAGAAGAGAGAUAAAGAGAGGAAGAAAUUGCCGUGAUGUAGACUGCUUUGCUACUUUUAUUGAAGUGCAGGCUAUGGCUUAAGAGAGGAAGUAACGGGGAAUCAUUCAGAGUGAAAUAUUGCUGCUUUGGGCUGCUGCUGCUGUUUGUUCAGUACUGCUAUAUGUUACUGAUGUGUGAUAGAUGUUGAGAUUAGAGACUGUGAGCUAUAGUUCAUUUCUCCCUUCUUUUCUUUACACUGCAGUUGCUCUUUUUAUUUGUUGAGAUUAGAGACUGUGAGCUAUAGUUCAUUUCUCCCUUCUUUCAGCUGUAAAGAAGUCUAGAGAGAGUUGUUGCUGAAUAAAAUCAGAGAAUAAUUGUGCUCGGUUCACAUGUGUGGCAGUAUCAAGAUUUUCUCUUUGAAACAAAUUGCCAAAUGCUAGGAUCAAAAUUUCUUGGGAAAGUUCUUGUCGAGAACUCAAUUGACGUGUUCCUUUUGUUUCAAGAAACUCGAUAUAGACAUUAUUAUUUAUUGGUAGUAACCCGUGUGUGUGUAUCUUUAUAUUUCUGUUGCUAGAUCUAAAUUUGGACAUACAUAGAUAGCUUCAGAUUUAGCCUAAAUGUUUUUUACUACCCAUAUAACCACUGUUGUGAAACCUUGUGCCUAGAUCAAUUAGAGCCUAAUGUACACUAAGAAGGCUUGGGUCUUCCUGUGCGUGCUGCUGCGCUGCUAGGUUUCUUGCCAUCUAUGAAGUUAGUAUUCAUUAGUCUUGGGUGAAUUCAUGUAUGGAUGGUCAGUUUUUGUACCUACAAAUUAGAGAUCAAAUUCAAGUCAUGCAUGCAAAAUGGUAAUUAAUAUUUCAUUACAAUCACUACUAUGCAUGAAAUUAUUUUCCCAUCUUGUGGGUGCCAGCGUCAUUGCUAUCAUAUGAUUUUAUAUGAACCUCUGUGUCUUUCUUCCACAUUUCUGCUUCAGUCACACGAAGACAGUUUAUCCAACAGAUAAUGUUCAAGUAUGUGCUGCUUGCAAAUAACCUUGCUUCACCAGAAGGUAAUUUUUGAUGGAGUAGGAGCAGUUAGCAGUCAGCAGUCAAGCUCAUAAAAUGGACGUAGAUGCUAACAGGAAAUGAAAUGACUGCCCGUACCAUCUUUGUGUGUACGAUUACUGUAUUUCAGUGGUAUUGAUCUAGAUGCCCAUACCAUCUUCUUGGCCUCAAGCACCACCACCUACAGGAUCCUGGUGAGCGAGGAGCAGCCGCGGUUGAUCCUGCACCAUCGCAGCACGUGCGUAGUCGUCGUUCACCAUCGGCACCACCAUAUGAUGUGCAGGUACGGCAAACAACCCCAUCUCCCUCUUAAUCCUUUUUUCUACCCUCACAUGGAUAUGCAGAGGUAAAGGAGCAGAAUCAAUUUAUUCAUGGUGUUACUGUCUGUUUAGACAUUUGUGUAUUAGUGUUUCACUGAAAUUCACACUCCUUGAUUCAAUGCCGGGAGCUGCCGCCCCCGCUGGGGACAUGGACAUACGCAAGGCGGACGCUGGCGAACGAUAUCGUACGUGCGCGCCUCCACGCUGCCGCACCGUGGGCACACAGAGGAACGGCCAUAUCAGUUGUACGGAUGCUUCGAACUAUAAGUUGUACUCAAUUUUUCUGUAUCCAAACUGAAUUGUUCAUUAAGCAGCUCGCCUGUCUCGUGGACUAACGAUUUUGCAUGAGCAUUCGUUCUCUGUACUGACGUGUGUUUGCUUAAUUUAGUGUGGUUCAUUAAUCGGUAGAUGCAAAAUUCAGCAAAGUAUACUUUGUGUAGGAGUUAGUGAGGUAGGGUGACUUGGGCAGGCCCAAUUCAGUAAUGUAGCAUACAUCUCUCAGCAUGCAUGUGUUACUUGGGAUUUAUACUAGAUUGUGCAGUAGAAGGAUUGGAUUAUUUCAUAGGCUUAUUUGAGGAUACGAUUUAGGCUCUGUUUGUAUCACACCCAGUCUUCUCACUACGGUGAUGCCGGACCUCGAGUCGCAUGUCCACACGUCACCGACAAAUGAACCCGCAAAAGAAUCUAGGCCUACCGAUUGGGAUGACAACGAUGAGGAGGAAUUGAUAGUGUGACAUGGUAUGGUCACGCCUGUAAGGGCAUGAGUGUGUGUCUACAAUUUUCUGCUGUAUAUUAUGAAAACCACAAUGUGUUUUGCAAUUACAGUAUUUGUGGUGGUACUUGGUGAUCUGGUCAUCAAUAUGUUAGUUCAUGUUCUACCACAUGCCCUCUUGACUGGCACUGUCAGCGGCAGCAGGCAAAUAUUCACACACGGCAUCAUAGAUGAGGCCUGCUCGUUGCUAUAUGCAAAUGUGGUCGCCGACACCCGGGCAGGCUCAACGUAUAACAUGCAUACACAUGCUCUUUUGUUUAUACUAGGCAUAUUGAAUUCUGUGAAACACACACAUUCCUCCCAAGUCAUAUAUAGGUUAAUGCCCAAUUCUUUAUUUUAUUUAUAGAAAACUGUAUUUUUUUCUAGAGAUUUGAUAUUUCCUGACCAUGAAUUUGGUUUCAAAUGCUCCUGGUGAAGCUUGAAUGUUGUUGAAGUGUAGUAAGACUCACUCUCACACUCAGAUUUAUUCACCACUAAAUUUCUAUAAAGGGGCUUGCCAAUCCACCUUAUACAAUGUACAAAAAAUAGUGUUUCAAGAAAGCAUGACAACUGAAAUGCAUUCCCCCCUACAUUUUAUCCUUUGGGCAGGGGAACUUUGUCAAACAUGGCAUGAUGAUGAAAAUGUCUUAUUAGAAAAUGAAAUUAUAAUGAGAAGAUAUGUUCUAAUUUGCUCUAGCUUUGGAAUUAUUGAAUAUGAUGUGAUAAGAGUUGUGUUUUUUAAUUAGUAUGAAUUAUAUAGCAGGCUAGCUAAAUUAUGCCCUUUUAUUCACUGAUUAUCUAUGCAAACUGAAGAUACCCUCAUGUACUACAUUGGUCUUUUCCAUAUGCUUGUUGUGCACACAUGUCAUUAGCUUCUCCUUUAUUAUUUUGUUUCUUCAGUUUACUGGAAAUAGAAGUAUCAAACUUCUAUGCGUGUGGCACCUUCGAUCUUCAGUUCAUUGGUCUUUCAUGUGCUGGUGAUUGAGGCGAAUCGUCUUGAGGUGAAAGUCGUAAAUUAUCGUUUUGAGUUUUUGCUUUCUUUAAGGUGUUUUUGUCUCCACGGAUGAUAUAAUCAUGUGUUUGCUAUUUUACCUCGAUGCAUUCAUUCAUCUGGAAGGAAGUUUCACCAGUUGCAAUUAAUUCAUUCUCCAUGAGAGGGCUGGUGUAGCAUGCGAGAUUUAUGUACUGGUUUGAGAUUUCAGAGUUGGUCUGUGCAUUGGAGUGUAACUGCAGCUGGAGUGACCAUACGCAGAUGCACGCUGUUGUUUAAGACCUUGAAACAAUGGCCUGGCAAGUCCUUCUCCUGAUAUCAGCUUCUGUGGCUUGAGUAAGUGUCAACGGCAUCCCUAGGCCUAGCAGACAAACACCCAAGAGUAAUCAAUUGUGGCAGAUUUUUGCGUAAUGUAACUUGAAUUAGGAUGUGACUAUUUGAUUUAUUUAUGUAUGUUGCUACUUCUGUAACAAAGUUUCUAAAUAACACAAUAUGAAAUGGCUUCCUUGAAACUCAUUUUUGAAUAAACAAAUUGUUGGGUCUCA